rnacentral:rRNA from 1 species
GACGAACGCUGGCGGCGUGCUUAACACAUGCAAGUCGAACGGAAAGGCCCUGCUUUUGUGGGGUGCUCGAGUGGCGAACGGGUGAGUAACACGUGAGUAACCUGCCCUUGACUUUGGGAUAACUUAAGGAAACUGGGGCUAAUACCGGAUAGGAGCUCCUGCUGCAUGGUGGGGGUUGGAAAGUUUCGGCGGUUGGGGAUGGACUCGCGGCUUAUCAGCUUGUUGGUGGGGUAGUGGCUUACCAAGGCUUUGACGGGUAGCCGGCCUGAGAGGGUGACCGGCCACAUUGGGACUGAGAUACGGCCCAGACUCCUACGGGAGGCAGCAGUAGGGAAUAUUGCACAAUGGGCGGAAGCCUGAUGCAGCAACGCCGCGUGCGGGAUGACGGCCUUCGGGUUGUAAACCGCUUUCGCCUGUGACGAAGCGUGAGUGACGGUAAUGGGUAAAGAAGCACCGGCUAACUACGUG